rfam:Vigna radiata var. radiata cultivar VC1973A chromosome 8, whole genome shotgun sequence
UGGAGAAGGGGAGCACGUGCAAAUUGAUUCAAUGGCGUUUAGGAGAGCCAAGAAUUGCACACUUGCACGUGCCCUGCUUCUCCAAC